UCCAAAUUGUAUGAGUACACCCCAGCUAUGACAUGGCUGGGACUGUCGCUAUGAGUAUGUGUUUUUGUUUCUUUCUCAUCCUGAAUGUGUGUGGCUGGCUGUUGUGGUUUGGCUUUGCUGUCGCUCUGUUUUUCCCCCUCUCUCUCUUGCUGCUCCCUCUGUUUCUUGCCGGCAUGUUGCAGCAGUGGGCAGUACCUGUGGUGGUUCCUGGGGCUGGUUUCCACACCUCCUGAUUGGCACACCUGAAUCUCAUCAUGCCGAUCACCACCGCUUUAUAAGCCUUGUGUUCUCUUCAGUUCGGAUUGCCUGGAAGAACUCUGUUCUGAAUCGCCUUCACCUGCCUGCCACGCUGGAGUCUCAGUUGGAGCCGACUCACUGCACGCCUGCCUGCCUGAUAUCCGAAACUCACCACACCGACCAGCCACAAAGGAUUUUCCCCUGCUCUGCCCAUUCUGAAGUUACUGUAGUUCAAUAAACUGUUUAAACUUAC